CUUCUGUGGCUCAGUUGGUAGAGCAUGGCGCUUGUAACGCCAGGGUUGUGGGUUCGAUUCCCGGGACCACCCAUACGUAGAAUGUAUGCACACAUGACUGUAAGUCGCUUUGGAUAAAAGCGUCAGCUAAAUGGCAUAUAUUAUUAUUAUUAUUAUAUAUUAAAUGGGGAAAUAGGUAAAUGACAAUCUUUAUAUAACUAGGCAAGUCAGUUAAGAACAAAUUCUUACUUACAGUAACGGCCUACCCCGGCCAAACCCGGACGAUGCUGGGCCAAUUGUGCGCCGCACUGUGGGCCUCCCAAUCACGGCCGGAUGUGAUACAGCCUGGAAUCGAACCAGGGACUGUAGCAACGCCUCUUGAGAUCCAUGUGCGUGUGUUAACUAUUUAACUGAACUAGAAAGCGUAAAAGGACGCUAAAAUGUUUAACAUCGGAUAUCGGUGCAUCACUACUUUACAUGUUGCGUUUCUAUUUUUGUUCUGUGUUUUAUAGAACGGUACCAACCCCUCGAUGAUGAGGCUCUCGUAGGGGGCCUUCUUGUCACAGACAGGACAGACCCAGGUAUUAUUAUAGAGAGGGGUACCAACCCCUCGAUGAUGAGGCUCUCGUAGGGGGUCUUCUUGUCACAGACAGGACAGACCCAGGUAUUAUUAUAGAGAGGGGUACCAACCCAUCGAUGAUGAGGCUCUCGUAGGGGGUCUUCUUGUCACAGACAGGACAGACCCAGGUAUUAUUAUAGAGAGGGGUACCAACCCAUCGAUGAUGAGGCUCUCGUAGGGGGUCUUCUUGUCACAGACAGGACAGACCCAGGUAUUAUUAUAGAGAGGGGUACCAACCCAUCGAUGAUGAGGCUCUCGUAGGGGGUCUUCUUGUCACAGACAGGACAGACCCAGGUAUUAUUAUAGAGAGGGGUACCAACCCAUCGAUGAUGAGGCUCUCGUAGGGGGUCUUCUUGUCACAGACAGGACAGACCCAGGUAUUAUUAUAGAGAGG